AUGGGCCGGGCUCUACUGGGCUGCCAUACCCAUUCCGUUUUCCCUCCCUCGCCCUCCAAACGGCCCCUCCGGCGACGCUCGGAGGCGGGCGGCCCGUGCUCGAAGAAGAGGAAGUCGGCGGCAGAAGGGCGCGGCCCGGAAGCUACGGCGGAUCCGCCGCUGGAAGCAGCGGAAGGGGGCGGGGCCGGCGACCGCAUCAGCGGCCUCCCCGACGGCGUCCUCGGGGACAUCGUCUCGCUCCUCCCCACAAGGGAAGGCGCGCGCACGCAGAUCCUCUCCUCCCGGUGGCGCCACCUCUGGCGCUCCGCUCCGCUCAACCUCGACCAUCACGAGCUCUGCGACAAGAAAUACCAGCUCGAUUCCGUCGUGUCGCGCAUCCUCGCCACCCACCCCGGCCCCGGCCGCCGCUUCUGCGUCACCGUCUACCACCUCCACCGCGACCGAGCCGACGCCUGGCUUCGAUCCCCUGCCCUCGACAACCUCCACGAGCUUGAGCUCUGCAGCUCCAAACACACCUUCCCGUAUCAACCGGUAGUACUGCAGCGGCCUUCCGCUUCUCCGACACCCUCGGCGUCGCCACCAUAG
rnacentral:rRNA from 1 species